AACGCACAUUGCGCCCGCCAGUAUUCUGGCGGGCAUGCCUGUCCGAGCGUCAUUUCAACCCUCGAACCCCUCCGGGGGGUCGGCGUUGGGGAUCGGCCCUCCCUCGCGGUGGGCCGUCUCCGAAAUACAGUGGCGGUCUCGCCGCAGCCUCUCCUGCGCAGUAGUUUGCACACUCGCACCGGGAGCGCGGCGCGUCCACGGCCGUUAAACACCCAACUUUCUGGAAUGUUGACCUCGGAUCAGGUAGGAAUACCCGCUGAACUUAA
rnacentral:misc_RNA from 1 species